GACGAACGCUGGCGGCAUGCCUAAUACAUGCAAGUCGAACGCUGAGGCACUCUGCUUGCAGAGUGCGGAUGAGUGGCGAACGGGUGAGUAACACGUGGGAAAUCUACCUAAAAGUGGGGGAUAACAUUCGGAAACGGAUGCUAAUACCGCAUAUCUUCAAGAACCGCAUGGUUCCUGAACGAAAGACGGCUUCGGCUGUCGCUCUUAGAUGAUCCCGCGGCGUAUUAGUUAGUUGGUGGGGUAAAGGCCUACCAAGACAAUGAUACGUAGCCGACCUGAGAGGGUGAUCGGCCACACUGGGACUGAGAACGGCCCAG
rnacentral:rRNA from 1 species